CUAUAAUGCAAGUCGAGCGAACAGAAGGGAGCUUGCUCCCGGAUGUUAGCGGCGGACGGGUGAGUAACACGUGGGUAACCUGCCUGUAAGACUGGGAUAACUCCGGGAAACCGGAGCUAAUACCGGAUAGUUCCUUGAACCGCAUGGUUCAAGGAUGAAAGACGGUUUCGGCUGUCACUUACAGAUGGACCCGCGGCGCAUUAGCUAGUUGGUGGGGUAAUGGCUCACCAAGGCGACGAUGCGUAGCCGACCUGAGAGGGUGAUCGGCCACACUGGGACUGAGACACGGCCCAGACUCCUACGGGAGGCAGCAGUAGGGAAUCUUCCGCAAUGGACGAAAGUCUGACGGAGCAACGCCGCGUGAGUGAUGAAGGUUUUCGGAUCGUAAAGCUCUGUUGUUAGGGAAGAACAAGUGCGAGAGUAACUGCUCGCACCUUGACGGUACCUAACCAGAAAGCCACGGCUAACUACGUGCCAGCAGCCGCGGUAAUACGUAGGUGGCAAGCGUUGUCCGGAAUUAUUGGGCGUAAAGGGCUCGCAGGCGGUUUCUUAAGUCUGAUGUGAAAGCCCCCGGCUCAACCGGGGAGGGUCAUUGGAAACUGGGAAACUUGAGUGCAGAAGAGGAGAGUGGAAUUCCACGUGUAGCGGUGAAAUGCGUAGAGAUGUGGAGGAACACCAGUGGCGAAGGCGACUCUCUGGUCUGUAACUGACGCUGAGGAGCGAAAGCGUGGGGAGCGAACAGGAUUAGAUACCCUGGUAGUCCACGCCGUAAACGAUGAGUGCUAAGUGUUAGGGGGUUUCCGCCCCUUAGUGCUGCAGCUAACGCAUUAAGCACUCCGCCU
rnacentral:rRNA from 1 species